rnacentral:rRNA from 1 species
GAUGAACGCUGACAGAAUGCUUAACACAUCAGCAAUUGAUUGGUGGCGAACGAGUGAGUAACGCGUAAAGAACUAGUCUCACAUGUAGGGACAACAUUUGGAAACGAAUGAUAAUACUUAAUACUGUGAGAGAGCUUUGCGUCCCAUUAGAUAGUUGGAGAGGUAACGGCUCACCAAGGCGAUGAUGGGUAGCCGGACUGAGAGGGUGAUCGGCCACAAGGGGACUGGGACACCGCCCUUAGUCCAACUGGAGGCAUGAGUGAGGGAUAUUGGACAAUGGACCAAAGUCUGAUCCAGCAAUUCUGUGUGCACGAUGAAGUUUUCGGAAUGUAAAAUGCUUGCAGUUAGGAAGCGGUACCAACAGAAGAAGUGACGGCUAAAUACGUGCCAGCAGCCGCGGUAAUAC